GCUUGCUUCCUGAUUGAUAACAUUUGAGUGAGUGGCGGACGGGUGAGUAACACGUGGGUAACCUGCCCUAAAGUGGGGGAUAACAUUUGGAAACAGAUGCUAAUACCGCAUAAAACCUAACACCGCAUGGUGUAGGGUUGAAAGAUGGUUUCGGCUAUCACUUUAGGAUGGACCCGCGGUGCAUUAGUUAGUUGGUGAGGUAAAGGCUCACCAAGACCGUGAUGCAUAGCCGACCUGAGAGGGUAAUCGGCCACACUGGGACUGAGACACGGCCCAGACUCCUACGGGAGGCAGCAGUAGGGAAUCUUCCACAAUGGACGAAAGUCUGAUGGAGCAACGCCGCGUGAGUGAAGAAGGUUUUCGGAUCGUAAAACUCUGUUGUUGGAGAAGAAUGUAUCUGAUAGUAACUGAUCAGGUAGUGACGGUAUCCAACCAGAAAGCCACGGCUAAAUACGUGCCAGCAGCCGCGGUAAUACGUAUGUUCCAAGCGUUAUCCGGAUUUAUUGGGCGUAAAGCGAGCGCAGACGGUUAUUUAAGUCUGAAGUGAAAGCCCUCGGCUCAACCGAGGAAUUGCUUUGGAAACUGGAUAACUUGAGUGCAGUAGAGGAAAGUGGAACUCCAUGUGUAGCGGUGAAAUGCGUA
rnacentral:rRNA from 1 species